rnacentral:tRNA from 1 species
CGGCGACCUCGAGGAGGUGCGUCUCUCCCUCUCCUCGGACGAGGUGGUCGGCACCGUGGUGCAGUCCCUGGUCGUCGC